GACGAACGCUGGCGGCGUGCUUAACACAUGCAAGUCGAACGGAAAGGCCCUGCUUUUGUGGGGUGCUCGAGUGGCGAACGGGUGAGUAACACGUGAGUAACCUGCCCUUGACUUUGGGAUAACUUCAGGAAACUGGGGCUAAUACCGGAUAGGAGCUCCUGCUGCAUGGUGGGGGUUGGAAAGUUUCGGCGGUUGGGGAUGGACUCGCGGCUUAUCAGCUUGUUGGUGGGGUAGUGGCUUACCAAGGCUUUGACGGGUAGCCGGCCUGAGAGGGUGACCGGCCACAUUGGGACUGAGAUACGGCCCAGACUCCUACGGGAGGCAGCAGUGGGGAAUAUUGCACAAGGGGCGGAAGCCGGAUGCAGCAACGCCGCGUGCGGGAUGACGGCCUUCGGGUGGUAAACCGCUUUCGCCUGUGACGAAGCGUGAGUGACGGUAAUGGGUAAAGAAGCACCGGCGAACUACGU
rnacentral:rRNA from 1 species